CUCAGAUCUUUGGAGAAACGGUCUCCUCUGAGCCUGCCGGUGUUAAAUAAAUCUCCAAUCCACCAAGAUCGCCGAGUGCCGCUUGGUUUUCCCGCCAGCGUUCCAGGCUGGUUCAGUUAACAGAUGAGGCCUUUGAGGAAGUACCACUGCACAAAACUUGGAGUAUCACAUAUUAGGUGUUGAUCCUAAGAGCACCCCUAAUAAACUCUGCAAACGACUCUUUCAGUCUGCUUCCCAGGGGGCAUUGCGGCCAGCACUCUCUAACCUAGGGUGUACGUGUGCCGUACUCACGCCGGAGCUUUAAUACAGUGAAUGCCUGUCGGAGUCCAGAUCGACUUCCGAGCUGAAUUUUCACAGAAGAGGCCUGGAGGCUUAGGAGACAGGACGACCGUCUCACUCACAAGACACCACUCUGUUCCCCUGCCCCCCCCUUCCUUCCUACUCCUCUACAAAUGCCUAUACAUCCCUACUCAGAGAUCCUGUUACGAUGCAAACAGACAAAAAUUCGCUCUUUGGGCCCAAAGUAACUGUAAACUGAACACCGUUUAGUUGAAACUGAAUCCCUUUAUAGGAAGUGUCUGCUUCCAAUAUCUUUUAACAACUGAGCACAUCCCAAGUUCAGAUCCCAGCCUCCCUGCCGAGAAGCUGUCCUGCCUCCCAUGGCAAAACCCUCAGCUCAGCAGAGGCACCCCUGGCACAGACCAGCUGCUCUCCCAGCUUCGUGUACAGAGUUGCCACAGCUCGGCUUUUCCCCACCUGGAACCCCUCGCAGCUGGGGCUGGCUUUUGGAUUCCUAUGAAGGCAAUGGCUCCCACUGUCCUUCAGCAGAGCUCAGCCUGGAGCUUUCCCAGACUCGACGAGUCCCAAGCCAACCAGAGAUGAGACUCAUUUAGAGGAAUAAGAAAAUGAUGGGAACAAUCAAACACAGAUUGACCUGACUGGUUUUGAGCUGACAGCGAGUCACAUAAGUCCCUUCAUUUCUGCCCUGGAGCUAGCUGCCAUCUUGUUGCAUCAGAUGCCCACAGCUGAUGCUGAACCUCAGUCACACAAUUAUCUGGACAUUGCUGUGCAAAUGUCUCUUUAUUGGCAAUAGAGGCCUUUUCAUCUAUUUUCCCUCUGCCUGUGAAACAUUCUCUCAUGCCCACAAAAAAGAAAGGCAUCUCAGGAGGCUCUAACAUUCCUCUUUCAACCAUCCCCCUACCCAGCAAUACAGUUUUUUCUUUGUAUUUGAUAGAAUCAAAAUCAGAUGCGCUGCCAUCAGGAUAUGAUAAACUGUACUCUUGGUGUUUCAUCAUAAUAGUAGGUUUGGGACUAAAGCCAAACAGUGGCAAUCUCUUCCCUUCAGAGAAAAAUUGCUUUCAAGAGUUAAAUAAAAUUCUCCUUCACACCAUCCUCAACAGAUCCUUCUGUUGGUACCCAUAGUACAAUAUUUUAUGAGAAAGACCUUUUUUGCAAAGUCUCUUGAAUAUUUCCGUAUUUCAAAUCAAUACAUUUGAUGCCUCUGACAAACAUAAAUAAAUAAAGCUGAGGCUUUAGCAAAUCAUUUCAGAGUCACAGGCCAGAUAAAAUGAAGGUGAAAUCAGGCUUUAAA